GACGAACGCUGGCGGCGUGCUUAACACAUGCAAGUCGAACGGAGUGGCGAACGGGUGAGUAACACGUGGGUGACCUGCCCUGCACUUAGGGAUAAGCCUGGGAAACUGGGUCUAAUACCGGAUAGUGUGGGAUGGGCCCGCGGCCGAUCAGCUUGUGGGUGGGGUAAUGGCCGACCAAGGCGGCGACGGGUAGCCGGCCUGAGAGGGUGGACGGCCACAUGGGGACUGAGACACGUCGCAGACACCUACGGGAGGCAGCAGUGGGGAAUAUUGCACAAUGGGCGGAAGCCUGAAGUCGCGACGCCGCGUGGGGGAUGACGGCCUUCGGGUUGUAAUCUCCUUUCACCAUCGACGCGGUAGAUGGAGAAGAAGGACCGGCUAACUACGGGCCAGCAGCCGCGGUAAUUC
rnacentral:rRNA from 1 species